GAUACCAGUAGAGGCGUCACGCGUGGGACGCUCGGUCGACAACUUUAAAUAUUCCAGCAAGGAAAUACUUCAAAACAGAGAAAAGAGGGAAGACAGGGUGACUUGGAAUGAGUACAAUCAAUGAAAUACACAAAGCAGGUUGUGAAUGAAUCUUUGAGAAUGGCAAGUGUGGUACCAGGAUUCUUGAGGAGGGCAAUCCAAGAUAUUCACAUUAGUGGAUACACAAUUCCUAAAGGAUGCACAAUCUUGGUUGCUUCAUCGGCUCUGCAGCUCAACCCGGAUACAUAGGAGGAUCCGCUUGCCUUCAAUCCAUCGCGAUGGAAGGAUAUUGGACCGUGUGCUAUGGCAAAAAAUUUCAUCCCCUUCGGCGGGGGGAUAAGAAUGUGUGCUGGCGCCGAAUUCACUAAGGCAUUCCUCGCAGUUUUUCUUCACGUCUUAGUCUCAAAUUACAGGUUGGAGAAAGUGAAGGGAGGCGAACUUACCAGGUCUCCAGUUCUAGCGUUUGGGAAUGGCUUUUACGUCAAGAUAUAUAACAAAAAUCGUAUUUGAGAUAUACACGAAAAGAGAACUUUACAGCUGGUUAUGUAAUUUUUUUUUGGGAUUAUAAAAGAUGCCUAUGGUCUUAUACAAGAAUAGCGAAAAUUAAACAAAUAGGCAUGAAAGUCCUGCUGGUUAAAAACGAACCUGCAACCUCAUGGUUUUGAGUCGAUGAAUUGUGUUAUUGUAACAAAUCCCCUUCCUCAACUAUGACCUAUUUAAUGUGAGUCUUGUGCACAAUUAAUGAUAAUUAGAGGGUCAGCAAGCCGUUUUAGUCAUACUUAUUGUAGUACUGUAUAAGAUGUGAGGACGUAAUCCUUUCGACCAUUUAUGAAAUUUGGCUCCAUCUUGG